GAUGAACGCUGGCGGCGUGCUUAACACAUGCAAGUCGAACGAAGCAACUUAUCACGAUCCCUUCGGGGUGACGAUUUGUUGACUGAGUGGCGGACGGGUGAGUAACGCGUGGGUAACCUGCCUUGUACAGGGGGACAACAGUUGGAAACGACUGCUAAUACCGCAUAAGCGCACAGCUUCGCAUGAAGCAGUGUGAAAAGUUUUUUCGGUACAAGAUGGACCCGCGUCUGAUUAGCUAGUUGGUGAGGUAACGGCCCACCAAGGCGACGAUCAGUAGCCGACCUGAGAGGGUGACCGGCCACAUUGGGACUGAGACACGGCCCAAACUCCUACGGGAGGCAGCAGUGGGGAAUAUUGCACAAUGGGCGAAAGCCUGAUGCAGCGACGCCGCGUGAGCGAAGAAGUAUUUCGGUAUGUAAAGCUCUAUCAGCAGGGAAGAUAAUGACGGUAC
rnacentral:rRNA from 1 species